GAGUAUGGAACAGUUGCUUUCAAUGAUGACUUGAUCGACGUCAUUGGUUCGGAUAGCGCUACAACUUGUCAGAUUGUUGUGAUCCGUCAUGAAGGUACAGGAGAUUGUAGUUUAACCCAUUUAGAUGGUGCGAGCACGAAACAGGCGUUAAAAGACAUGAUUGGGUCGCUC